rnacentral:rRNA from 1 species
GACGAACGCUGGCGGCGUGCUUAACACAUGCAAGUCGAACGGAAAGGCCCUGCUUUUGUGGGGUGCUCGAGUGGCGAACGGGUGAGUAACACGUGAGUAACCUGCCCUUGACUUUGGGAUAACUUCAGGAAACUGGGGCUAAUACCGGAUAGGAGCUACUGCUGCAUGGUGGGGGUUGGAAAGUUUCGGCGGUGGGGGAUGGACUCGAGGGUUAUCAGCCUGUUGGUGGGGUAGUGGCUUCCCAAGGCUUCGACGGGUAGCCGGCCUGAGAGGGUGACCGGCCUCAUUGGGACUGAGAUACGGCCCAGUCUCCUACGGGCGGCAGCAGUGGGGAAUAUUGCGCAAUGGGCGGAAGCCUGAUGCAGCAACGCCGCGUGCGGGAUGCCGGCCUUCGGGUUGUAAACCGCUUUCGCCUGUGACGAAGCGUGAGUGACGGUAAUGGGUAAAGAAGCACCGGCUAACUACGUG